UGAUCCUGGCUCAGGAUGAACGCUAGCGGCAGGCCUAACACAUGCAAGUCGAGGGGUAACAGGGAGUGCUUGCACUCCGCUGACGACCGGCGCACGGGUGCGCACCGCGUAUGGAACCUACCUUCUACAGGGGAAUAGCCUUUGGAAACGAAGAUUAAUGCCCCAUUGUACCUUUUCACGGCAUCGUGAAAGGGUUAAAGGCUUCGGCCGGUGGAAGAUGGCCAUGCGUCCCAUUAGCUUGAUGGUAAGGUAACGGCUUACCAUGGCUACGAUGGGUAGGGGCCCUGAGAGGGGGAUCCCCCACACUGGUACUGAGACACGGACCAGACUCCUACGGGAGGCAGCAGUGAGGAAUAUUGGACAAUGGAGGAGACUCUGAUCCAGCCAUGCCGCGUGCAGGAAGAAUGCCCUAUGGGUAGUAAACUGCUUUUAUACGGGAAGAAAAAGGGCUACGUGUAGCCUGUUGACGGUACCGUAAGAAUAAGGACCGGCUAACUCCGUGCCAGCAGCCGCGGUAAUACGGAGGGUCCGAGCGUUAUCCGGAAUUAUUGGGUUUAAAGGGUCCGUAGGCGGGCGAUUAAGUCAGUGGUGAAAGUCUGCAGCUCAACUGUAGAAUUGCCUUUGAUACUGGUCGUCUUGAGUUAUGGUGAAGUUGGCGGAAUAUGUAGUGUAGCGGUGAAAUGCAUAGAUAUUACAUAGAACACCGAUUGCGAAGGCAGCUGACUAACCAUAUACUGACGCUGAUGGACGAAAGCGUGGGGAGCGAACAGGAUUAGAUACCCUGGUAGU
rnacentral:rRNA from 1 species